rnacentral:lncRNA from 1 species
GAGUAGAGAUGAGAUAGAGAAAGAGGGAGAGAUACUGAAAGAUGGCGUGGGGGACAGAAGACGAGGGGACUGAGAGGAGAGGGGAAAUGCGGCAGUCAUCUCCCAGACGUCGUGGCGUGCGUACGCACAGUUCGGCUCUCUCGUCCGCCUACACGCUACCACGCCCUUGCGUCUCGCAUGGAAGAUAGGCGUUGUGACGGUCCGGGUAAUAUGUGAUAUAGUACGAAAGAGGUGUUCCAUUGAUGAGAUUGAAUCGCAAUUUGGAUGCAGUUGACUGCAUCUUGUUCACAAGAUUUUAGUGAAAGUAAGAAAUAAA